AGUGAACGCUGGCGGCAGGCCUAACACAUGCAAGUCGAACGGCAGCACGGCAGUAGCAAUACUGUGGGUGGCGAGUGGCGGACGGGUGAGGAAUACAUCGGGAUCUACCCUGUUGUGGGGGAUAACGUAGGGAAACUUACGCUAAUACCGCAUAAGAACUGAGGUUGAAAGCGGCGGACCGCAAGGCGUCGCGCGAUUGGAUGAACCGAUGUCCGAUUAGCUAGUUGGCGGGGUAAAGGCCCACCAAGGCGACGAUCGGUAGCUGGUCUGAGAGGACGACCAGCCACACUGGAACUGAGACACGGCCCAGACUCCUACGGGAGGCAGCAGUGGGGAAUAUUGGACAAUGGGCGCAAGCCUGAUCCAGCCAUGCCGCGUGGGUGAAGAAGGCCUCGGUUGUAAGACCUUU
rnacentral:rRNA from 1 species